AAUGAUCCCUGUGGAUGCUGACGCAAUGUGAUUUAUACCCAAUGAUAUGCAUGUGAAAAUGAAUAAAUUCAACCAAACGUCGGUAAACGACGAGAGCAACUAUGACUCUCUUAAGGUAGUCAGAUUCCUAGUCAUCUAAUUAGUGACAUGCGUGAAUGGAUUAACAAGAUUCCCACUGUCCCUAGAUACUAUGUAUAGAAACCACAACCAAUGAAUAUUAA
rnacentral:ncRNA from 1 species